AAGAGAGAGAGAGAGAGAGAGAGAGAGAGAGAGAGAGAGAGAGAGAGAGAGAGAGAGAGAGAGAGAGAGAGAGAGAGAGAGAGAGAGAGAGAGAGAGAGAGAGAGAUAGAGAGAGAGAGAGAGAGAGAGAGAGAGAGAGAGAGAGAGAGAGAGAGAGAGAGAGAGAGAGAGAGAGAGAGGGGGCAGGCAGGGAGGAGGAAUAAUUUAAGAGAUAAGACCGUCCGGGUGUAUGUAUGCCUUGCUAUCAGAGUAUAUAUCUAGUGCAUGUAUGCAGUGUAUAUUCUGUAUAUAUAUGCAAAUGCACUUGAUCAUGUCAGGAGUGUGAGAGCGAAGAGGUGAAGUGAAUAUUAGUAGAGGAAUGUAGUGUGUGGAAUAGAGAUAUGUAGCAAAAAUUUAAAUAUAUCUUAAGUGUAUACUCAUUUGGUACGACAGAAAAGCAGUAUGAACUUUUUAUGUACCUGUGUGUGAGUGUAAACAUGUGUGUGCGUGUAUGACCCAGAGUAUAAGUAAAAUAAUCAAUGACCUCUUUAUUGAAUGUAUGUAUGUAUGUAUGUAUGUAGGUAGGUAGGUAGGUAGGUAGGUAGGUAGGUAGGUACUUAGGUAGGUAAGAGAAGAAGUAUGCAAGUAAUACGGUAAAAGUUUUUUUAUAUACUAGGUGUGUAUGUAUACCACUAUGUAUGCAUGUGUAUGUAA